rnacentral:rRNA from 1 species
GUGGGGAAUUUUGGACAAUGGGCGCAAGCCUGAUCCAGCCAUGCCGCGUGAGUGAUGAAGGCCUUCGGGUUGUAAAGCUCUUUAGUCCACGAAUAUAAUGACUGUAGUGGAAGAAUAAGCCCCGGCUAACUUCGUGCCAGCAGCCGCGGUAAUACGAAGGGGGCGAGCGUUAUUCGGAAUCACUGGGCGUAAAGCGUGCGUAGGCUGUUUUGUAAGUCAGAAGUGAAAGCCCAGGGCUUAACCCUGGAAUUGCUUUUGAAACUACAAGACUCGAAUUCGGGAGAGGAUAGCGGAAUUGUCAGUGUAGCAGUGAAAUGCGUAGAUAUUGACAGGAACACCAGUGGCGCAAGCGGCUAUCUGGACCGAUAUUGACGCUGAGGCACGAAAGCGUGGGGAGCAAACAGGAUUAGAUACCCCAGUAGUCC